CUUGCUUAAGCACCAGCAUGGUGGGGACUUUCAAAGGUUGCCGCCGAUGGCGAGUCCAAACCAGAUGCAUCAUCAUCCGCCACCCCCAAUGCCUAAUUUCUGUCGAAAUGGUUUUGGCCCAUGGAACCACAGUGCGCAUCCAGAGGGGGCGCCUGCGUUGAAGCCAUAGACCACGGCAGCGCAGGCUUGCAGGGGGCGGCGGCCAUGGCGGGGAGGCGGCGUUGCGCUCGAGCGCUACAUCAGGCGGCGGCAGCGAGGCGGGAGGCGCGUGCGGAGAAUGCAUCAAAUGUUUGAUGAAUUGCUUGAAGAAAAUGCAUCGGGUCCUUUCUUGCAUGCUUCAAGUCUUCAACCAGAUUGUCUUUGAGAAUAAUUUGAUGAACCACCAUGUCGCCCUUCAAUACAUUUCUAGAGCUGAAAUUUC